UUCUAUCCAGACUAGACAGAGGAGGUGCUGUACCACAACCCUUCUAUCCAGACUAGACAGAGGAGGUGCUGUACCACAACCCUUCUAUCCAGACUAGACAGAGGAGGUGCUGUACCACAACCCUUCUAUCCAGACUAGACAGAGGAGGUGCUGUACCACAACCCUUCUAUCCAGACUAGACAGAGGAGGUGCUGUACCACAACCCUUCUAUCCAGACUAGACAGAGGAGGUGCUGUACCACAACCCUUCUAUCCAGACUAGACAGAGGAGGUACUGCUACUGCACUGUGAUCCAUAUCCACCCAGUAUAGACUGUACAUCUCUGUCAUAAUAUGAGCCUUUAUAGAGUAGUUUCAUCCACAC